rnacentral:lncRNA from 1 species
GGAUUUAUGGGGUCUGUGGGUCACUCUCUGGGAUCUAUGGGGUCUGUGGGUCUCUAUGGGGCACCGUGUGUUCCUAUGGGAUCUGUGGGUCUCUAUGGGGUCUCUAUGGGGUCUGUAUGGGGCGCUGCGUGUUCCUAUGGGAUUUAUGGGAUCUGUGGGUCGCUCUCUGGGAUCUAUGGGGUCUGUGGGUCUCUAUGGGGCGCCAUGUGUUUCUAUGGGGUGUGU